UACGGGGGGAGCAAGCGUUGUUCGGAUUUACUGGGCGUAAAGGGCGCGUAGGCGGCCAGCACAAGUCAGUUGUGAAAUCUCCGAGCUUAACUCGGAAAGGUCAACUGAUACUGUGCGGCUAGAGUGCGGAAGGGGCAACUGGAAUUCUUGGUGUAGCGGUGAAAUGCGUAGAUAUCAAGAGGAACACCUGCGGCGAAGGCGGGUUGCUGGGCCGACACUGACGCUGGAUGCGCGAAAGCUAGGGGAGCGAACGGG
rnacentral:rRNA from 1 species